rnacentral:rRNA from 1 species
GCCGCGUAAUCGAUUAUCGGGAGUCAGACUGCACGAGAUAAGUUGGGCGGUCAAAAGGGAAAGAGCCCAGACCUUACAGUUAAGGUCCCCAAGUGCGCGUUAAGUGGAAAAGGAUGUGGGAUUUCGAAGACAACCAGGAUGUUGGGCUCAGAAGCAGCCAUCCAUUCAAAGAGUGCGUAAUAGCUCACUGGUCGAGAGGUCCUGCGCCGAAAAUGUCCGGGGCUGAAAACGCGCCACCGAAACUAAGGAACCGAAAGGUUGGUAGAGGAGCAUUGCAUGCGGAACGAAGCAGUACCGUAAGGAGCUGUGGACUGCAUGGAAGAGAGAAUGCCGGAAUGAGUAGCGAGAAUAAGGUGAGAAUCCUUAUGGCCGAAUAUCCAAGGUUUCCAGAGUAAAGCUGAUCUGCUCUGGGUAAGUCGGGGCCUAAGGCGAGGACGAGAGUCGUAGCCGAUGGACAACAGGUGGAGAUUCCUGUACUGCGGUAUGACAGAACUGUGGGGAC